UUACAUGUGUCCAUUGUGUGUUCUAUUUGGAUAGAAAAGGCAUUUAACACAAACAUGGAACUAAACAAAAGGAAUGCAUGCGCUAACUUCUCAUGUUGCUCUCUACAUGUCCGUCUCCAAGGAGAAGCCUUGCACCUUCGUCAAAGUGAGAUUGUCUCAACCUGCACAAAAUACAAGCCCCAUUAUAGUUAAGUGCGAAAGAGAAAUAACCAGAACCACACAGUGUGAAUUUAGUCCUCUAACCUUCAUGGUGAAGAAGAGCUUGACAAAAUUCUGGGUGAGGAGCCCAAGGGACUUUUCCUUCACAGAUGUCAGUUUUCUACAGAAAUUCAUAUAAAUUUGGGCCAAGUUUCUCACAAACA
rnacentral:lncRNA from 1 species